rnacentral:lncRNA from 1 species
GAGGACAAAGACCAGGGCCAGGCCCAGGGCGGAGCCUCCGCGGCCCCGACGCAGGGACUCGGCCUAGGCGGAGGACGGGGCGGAGCGCGGCCGGCACCAUCGAGCCGGGAAGAUGGCACCGCCCACGGAGCUGCUGGCCAGGCCGGAGCGAGGCAGCGCGCCCGGCUCCCGCGCCAUGGGGCGGCUGGUGGCUGUGGGCUUGCUGGGGAUCGCGCUGGCGCUCCUGGGCGAGAGGCUUCUGGCACUCAGAAAUCGACUUAAAGCCUCCAGAGAAGUAGAAUCUGUAGACCUUCCACACUGCCACCUGAUUAAAGGAAUUGAAGCUGGCUCUGAAGAUAUUGACAUACUUCCCAAUGGUCUGGCUUUUUUUAGUGUGGUGAGUGUCUUCUUCCUUCCCCAAAUUCAGCAGAGGAGAUACAAGGGUAUUUGAUGAGGGCUGCAGAACAGACUCCACAGCUUUGCACCAGAUAAGCCUGGAGGAAUACUAAUGAUGGAUCUAAAAGAAGAAAAACCAAGGGCACGGGAAUUAAGAAUCAGUCGUGGGUUUGAUUUGGCCUCAUUCAAUCCACAUGGCAUCAGCACUUUCAUAGACAACGAUGACACAGUUUAUCUCUUUGUUGUAAACCACCCAGAAUUCAAGAAUACAGUGGAAAUUUUUAAAUUUGAAGAAGCAGAAAAUUCUCUGUUGCAUCUG